UACGUAGGGUGCGAGCGUUGUCCGGAAUUAUUGGGCGUAAAGAGCUCGUAGGCGGUUUGUUGCGUCUAUCGUGAAAACCUGCAGCUUAACUGUGGGCUUGCGGUGGAUACGGGCAGACUUGAGUUCGGUAGGGGAGACUGGAAUUCCUGGUGUAGCGGUGAAAUGCGCAGAUAUCAGGAGGGACACCGGUGGCGAAGGCGGGUCUCUGGGCCGAUACUGACGCUGAGGAGCGAAAGCGUGGGGAGCGAACAGG
rnacentral:rRNA from 1 species